AUGAAGAACAUCAACAAUAUUCAUCCAUAUUCAACCAUUCCUCAAGAACAAAAGAGUCAAAAUUCAUCAUUCUUCUUCCUCCCCAACCAGAAUUCCGCAAGCAAGACACUCCCUCUGCCUACCGCUCCAGUCCGUCACCGUAAGUCCUCCCUCCAGCCACCGCGUGAACGCGAUACCUCCUCCGUCUCCGCCUUGUUUUUCCGGUGUUUUCAUCUCCUCUUUACGGCUGUUCCUACAUUAACAUCAUCCUCUGUUUUGUGCUUUGAUUCCGCUUGA